rnacentral:rRNA from 1 species
UACGUAGGGGGCAAGCGUUAUCCGGAUUUACUGGGUGUAAUGGGAGCGUAGACGGCGAUGCAAGCCAGAUGUGAAAGCCCGGGGCUCAACCCCGGGACUGCAUUUGGAACUGUAUAGCUAGAGUGUCGGAGAGGCAGGCGGAAUUCCUAGUGUAGCGGUGAAAUGCGUAGAUAUUAGGAGGAACACCAGUGGCGAAGGCGGCCUGCUGGACGAUGACUGACGUUGAGGCUCGAAAGCGUGGGGAGCAAACAGG